rnacentral:rRNA from 1 species
AUUGAACGCUGGCGGCAGGCCUAACACAUGUAAGUCGAACGAAGUCUUCGGACUUAGUGGCGGACGGGUGAGUAACACGUGGGAACGUACCUUUUGGUUCGGAACAACUCAGGGAAACUUGAGCUAAUACCGGAUGAGCCCUUAGGGGGAAAGAUUUAUCGCCGAAAGAGCGGCCCGCGUUAGAUUAGCUAGUUGGUGAGGUAAAGGCUAACCAAGGCUACGAUCUAUAGCUGGUCUGAGAGGAUGAUCAGCCACACUGGGACUGAGACACGGCCCAGACUCCUACGGGAGGCAGCAGUGGGGAAUCUUGCGCAAUGGGCGAAAGCCUGACGCAGCCAUGCCGCGUGAAUGAUGAAGGUCUUAGGAUUGUAAAAUUCUUUUACCAGGGACGAUAAUGACGGUACCUGGAGAAAAAGCCCCGGCUAACUUCGUGCCAGCAGCCGCCGUAAUAC